rnacentral:rRNA from 1 species
GAUGAACGCUGGCGGCGUGCCUAAUACAUGCCAGUCGAGCGAACAGACGAGGAGCUUGCUCCUCUGACGUUAGCGGCGGACGGGUGAGUAACACGUGGAUAACCUACCUAUAAGACUGGGAUAACUUCGGGAAACCGGAGCUAAUACCGGAUAAUAUAUUGAACCGCAUGGUUCAAUAGUGAAAGACGGUUUUGCUGUCACUUAUAGAUGGAUCCGCGCCGCAUUAGCUAGUUGGUAAGGUAACGGCUUACCAAGGCAACGAUGCGUAGCCGACCUGAGAGGGUGAUCGGCCACACUGGAACUGAGACACGGUCCAGACUCCUACGGGAGGCAGCAGUAGGGAAUCUUCCGCAAUGGGCGAAAGCCUGACGGAGCAGCGCCGCGUGAGUGAUGAAGGUCUUCGGAUCGUAAAACUCUGUUAUUAGGGAAGAACAAAUGUGUAAGUAACUAUGCACGUCUUGACGGUACCUAAUCAGAAAGCCACGGCUAACUACGUG